GAUGAACGCUGGCGGCGUGCCUCAAACAUGCAAGUCGAGCGGGGCUAUGUAAUAUCGCAAGGUAGAACAUAGCCUAGCGGCGAACGGGUGAGUAACACGUGGGUAACCUGCCUGGAAGACAGGGAUAACGAUUCGAAAGGGUCGCUAAUACCUGAUAAUAUCCUUUCAUCGCAUGGUGAUAGGAAGAAAGGGGAAACCCGCUUUCAGAUGGGCCCGCGUCCCAUCAGCUAGUUGGUAAGGUAAAGGCUUACCAAGGCGACGACGGGUAGCCGGUCUGAGAGGAUGUACGGCCACACUGGGACUGAGAUACGGCCCAGACUCCUACGGGAGGCAGCAGUUGGGAAUCUUAGGCAAUGGACGAAAGUCUGACCUAGCGACGCCGCGUGAGGGAAGAAGGCCUUCGGGUUGUAAACCUCUGUCAUGGGGGAAGAAGUAAGUGACGGUACCCCAAGAGGAAGCCCCUGCUAACUACGUGCCAGCCAGCCGACGGUAAAAUAGCGUACU
rnacentral:rRNA from 1 species